rnacentral:rRNA from 1 species
GAUGAGUCAUUCGAGUUCAUUUCCUUUUAUCGAGAAAGAUAUGGUUAUUCUUUUGGAAACUUCAUCGUGCUGGGGAUAGAGCAUUGCAUCUAUUGCUUCUGAGCGAGGAAUCCCUAGUAAGUACAGUCACUAGCUGUGCUGAUACGUCCCUGCCCUUUGUACACACCGCCGUCGCUACUACGAUUGAAUGGCUUAGUGAGGCCUUCGGAUUGAAUUCGCGAGACUGGCAACAGACUCUUGGUUUUGAAAAGUUGGACAAACUUGGUCAUUUAGAGGAAGUAAAAGUCGUAACAAGGUUUCCGUAGGUGAACCUGCGGAAGGAUCAUUACCGAUUUUUAGCGGACCUGAUCUUUGAUCAUGGUCUCGCGAA